rnacentral:lncRNA from 1 species
UCUUGUUUUUUACGAGGGCGGGGCAGUCUUCCGGCCGUCUCUCCGCCCGGAAGCCUGUAACACAAAGUCCGUGCGAGUUGCAAGUAUCGCGAGGUUUGAUGUGGCCUGCCCGCCUGGUGUUCAUCUGGCGGCGAGGAGAGAGCCCGGGAGGUGUUCGCGGGCUCUGACCCGCUGUGGUGCAUUAAGGGCCAGCGAGAAGGGUGGCGGCCUGGCGGGAGACCGCCGUGCCCGGGUCGUGGCCUCUGGCUUCUGUUUGCGCUUGGGCGCUUCGUCGUGUCGCCGCCCGCGCGGGCGCUCUGGGAGGCGGCGAUGCCCUCGAUGCUGAGGCGUCGCCGGGCGUACGCGACUGCUGAGGGCGCAGAACCGGCCGCCGGCGCCUGGGCGCAAGGGCCGAGGUGAAACGCUGAAGAUUCGCCGCGUUCUCCGUGUGCCGUCUGAGGCUGCCGGCCGUCUGGAUGAUCCGUGACGGGAAGACGCUAAGCAAAUCAUGAAGCUGCUUUUGUGGGCAUCUUCGGGGCAGCCUGCCACCAACGGGUUAAUGGAGACGGUUUAUCUAACGCUUCUCCAUGCGCUGUACAGUGUUCAUCCAACACGGGGCCCUGCACGUGUCGGAAUGCCCGCCUGGCCCGCACGGCGCUUCCUGGAGCUGGGUCAGCCCGAAUGGGCCUGUGCUGAGUCCAGGGCGCUGUAACAAGCCACCACGGGCUUCGUGGCAGGAGAUGGCACGGGAGUGCUGUCCGACGGACAGCUCGACGGGAGAUCCGUUUCCUGGCCUUCUCCAGCUUCCGGAGGCUGUCCACGUUCCUGGGCUCGUGGCCACCUCCCUCCCCUCUUCAAAGCCAGGGGUGUUGCACGUCCGACCCUUCCGUAAUCACAUCUGCCUCUGAUCGCAGCUGGGAAAGAUUCUUUUAUUUUGAGGGCUCGUGUGAUAAGAUUGGGUCCACCUGAAUAAUCCAGGAUACUCUUCUCGUUUCAAGGGCCCAGGCAUGAGGACAUGGGGACCAGACUGAAGGACAACCUGAGAGAAAGACUCAAUGCUGUACAGCAAAGUACACAGAUCUUAAGUAUACAGCUUGAUGAAUUUUGUAUGAAUACACCAGUGUAACCACCACCCAGAUCAAAAUAUACAACAUUUUCAGCACUCCGGGAGAUUUUCUCAUGCUUCCUCCUAGCUCAAACCUCCCCUCACCCAAAGUGCUGUUUGGAGGUCGAAAGCGAUGUGUGCUCCUUUCCUAAGGGUUCAGGAUGAGGAUGUUGGCAUUUGGGAAAAUAGAGACAUCUCGGUCAAAAGCUGGUUGAGCAAGAAGGUAGAAAUA